rnacentral:tRNA from 1 species
AGCAGUAUAGUUUUUGAAAAAUAAUAUCUUGCAAAGAUAGAGAAAUCUUAUUAAGGUUGUUGCUU